rnacentral:misc_RNA from 1 species
GAUGAAGAACGUAGCGAAAUGCGAUAAUUAAUGUGAAUUGCAGAAUUCCGUGAAUCAUCGAGUCUUUGAACGCACAUUGCGCCUCAUGGCAUUCCGUGAGGCAUGCCCAUCUCAGCGUUAGAAAAUAUUCUCAAAUUUUAGUUUUGUGCUAAAAUUUGGAUCAUGUCAAGGAAGCUAUUACUAUUAUUGUGAUCGCUCUUUGGAAAUUGAUAGGUCUUUGAGUUGCUACUCAUAGAACGUGAUGAAUCUUUCUUCGUUCUAUUGUAAUUCACUCUGGUAGUCCUAAAACUUGUAUGCCUGUGGCAUAUCUUGUAAUUUGACCUGAGAUUGGGUAGGGAUACCCGUUGAACUUAAGCAUAUCAAUAAGCGGAGGA